UUCAUGCACAAGAGAAGAGCCAUGAUGUCAUUGAUCCUCUUUGGAAAUGAAGGACAAAUAACAACAAAGCCUGAUCUAUGUCUCACAGGAAGAGGGGGAUUCUGUAAGAUAAAUAGAACUACAAAGAGAAUACAACUCUCAAGGAAAAACUUUGGGGAUUAAACCACCUGGAACUGGGAAAUUGAUAUUUCCUCCACCUUCAUAUGGAACCAUGAGCCCAGUGAAAAAUUAGAAAUAAUGCUUUGGUGAGAUUAUUUUCAUCUUUUUGAUAUAAAACAGAGAUCUUCAUUGCUGUUUGCAAUUACAAAUCUUGUGACUUCUUUCUCAAGGGUAACAAUUCAAACCUUUGCCAAACUUUAAGCCAUAUAAUUAUAUUUUACUCUUACAGCUUCAAAUCCACAUGCUCUGUUUCACUCCUGUCCUGUCUUAUGUAAAGUGAAUCCACAAAGAUAUCAAUGGAUCUGAGAGAUUCAAAGGGUUCCUUUUCUUUGCCUAUUUAAAGACUCCUUGUUAUUAAAAAAAAAGUAGCAUUCUCUUAAUAACAGAUGUCUGAUAUCUUUCCUCAAUAAUAUACUGCAAUUAACAAUGCAAAUGUGAAAUAAAAUCACAUUAUUUAUCA
rnacentral:lncRNA from 1 species